rnacentral:rRNA from 1 species
CACGUAGGGCGCAAGCGUUGUCCGGAAUUAUUGGGCGUAAAGAGCUCGUAGGCGGUCUGUUACGUCUGCUGUGAAAACCCAGGGCUUAACCCUGGGCUUGCAGUGGAUACGGGCAGACUAGAGGUAGGUAGGGGAGAAUGGAAUUCCCGGUGUAGCGGUGAAAUGCGCAGAUAUCGGGAGGAACACCGGUGGCGAAGGCGGUUCUCUGGGCCUUACCUGACGCUGAGGAGCGAAAGCGUGGGGAGCGAACAGG